rnacentral:rRNA from 1 species
GAUGAACGCUGGCGGCGUGCCUAACACAUGCAAGUCGAGCGAUCUUCUUCGGAAGAGAGCGGCGGACGGGUGAGUAACGCGUGGGUAACCUGCCUCAUACACAUGGAUAACAUACCGAAAGGUAUGCUAAUACAAGAUGAUAUAAGAGAUUCGCAUGGAUUUCUUAUCAAAGCUCCGGCGGUAUGAGAUGGACCCGCGUCUGAUUAGCUAGUUGGUAAGGUAACGGCUUACCGAGGCGACGAUCAGUAGCCGACCUGAGAGGGUGAUCGGCCACAUUGGGACUGAGACACGGUCCAAACUCCUACGGGAGGAAGCAGUGGGGAAUAUUGCACAAUGGGCGAAAGUCUGAUGCAGCAACGCCGCGUGAGCGAUGAAGGCCUUCGGGUCGUAAAGCUCUGUCCUCAAGGAAGAUAAUGACGGUACUUGAGGAGGAAGCCCCGGCUAACUACGUGCCAGCAGCCGCCGUAACAC